UGUAUCCUAAUAUUAGACCCC
rnacentral:miRNA from 1 species